rnacentral:rRNA from 1 species
AAAUCAGUUAUCGUUUAUUUGAUAGUACCUUACUACUUGGAUAACCGUGGUAAUUCUAGAGCUAAUACAUGCUGAAAACCCUGACUUCGGAAAGGGUGUAUUUAUUAGAUAAAAAACCAAUGCCCUUUGGGCUCUUUGGUGAUUCAUGAUAACUUAACGGAUCGCAUGGCCUUGCGCCGGCGACGGUUCAUUCAAAUUUCUGCCCUAUCAACUUUCGAUGGUAAGGUAUUGGCUUACCAUGGUUUCAACGGGUAACGGGGAAUUAGGGUUCGAUUCCGGAGAGGGAGCCUGAGAAACGGCUACCACAUCCAAGGAAGGCAGCAGGCGCGCAAAUUACCCAAUCCCGACACGGGGAGGUAGUGACAAUAAAUACUGAUACAGGGCUCUUUAGGGUCUUGUAAUCGGAAUGAGUACAAUUUAAACCUCUUAACGAGGAACAAUUGGAGGGCAAGUCUGGUGCCAGCAGCCGCGGUAAUUCCAGCUCCAAUAGCGUAUAUUAAAGUUGUUGCAGUUAAAAAGCUCGUAGUUGAAUCUUGGGCCUGGCUGGCCGGUCCGCCUCACCGCGUGUACUGGUCUGGCCGGGCCUUUCCUUCUGGAGAACCUCAUGCCCUUCAGUGGGUGUGUUGGGGAACCAGGACUUUUACUUUGAAAAAAUUAGAGUGUUCAAAGCAGGCCUUUGCUCGAAUACGUUAGCAUGGAAUAAUAGAAUAGGACGUGCGGUCCUAUUUUGUUGGUUUCUAGGACCGCCGUAAUGAUUAAUAGGGAUAGUCGGGGGCAUCAGUAUUCAAUUGUCAGAGGUGAAAUUCUUGGAUUUAUUGAAGACUAACUACUGCGAAAGCAUUUGCCAAGGAUGUUUUCAUUAAUCAGUGAACGAAAGUUAGGGGAUCGAAGACGAUCAGAUACCGUCGUAGUCUUAACCGUAAACUAUGCCGACUAGGGAUCGGGCGAUGUUUCUAUCUUGACUCGCUCGGCAC